ensembl:lncRNA
GUGUGCCUGAUUGGACUUUGUUCUUCCAUUCCUUUGCAAUACAGCAUCAGUGUUUCAUCUUUAAUACCAACUUUCUAACCCUUUUACAUCACUUGAACAGAAUUCCAUGGUGACCAUGAAACUACUAUUCCUAGUGAUGUGCCUGAUUGGACUUUGUUCUUCCAUUCCUGUGUCUGAGGAACAUUAUCGAGAGGAGCGCUCAGCUAGCGAUGAGAUGUUCAGGGGUAAUGGGCAUGGUUUGGGAGGGUUUUACCACUAUCAGCCACCACAGUACCCAUCAUACUUCCCUUAUGCCCAGCCUCCCCAAAGUAACUCCGCCCUGAUGGCCCUCCUGCCCUUCCUAUUUGCCAGACUCGCUGCCACUCCUGUAGCAACUCCUGCUGCAGCUCCCGCCCCAGCUGCCUCUGCCACACCGGCCCCAGCAGCGGGUGGAAAAUGAGAUGGGCGUCGCCAGAGGAACCAGAGAGAAAACUCUGACUCCCAUGUCUCCACCUUGUUUACUUAAAUUAUGUUGAUAUUAGCUGCUGUUCAAAGCUGAUUAUUCCAUUAUCAAUAAAUUAAUUACGUUUUAAGAUCCGUCAUUAUGUAUAUGUUUGUCUGUUGUGUUCUGUUUAAUUUACAGAAAGGGGCAAUUCUAUUUGUGAUGCUUUCAAAACAGGAGUGAAACUUCUCUAACAUAAGGUGGAAGGCUCUACAAGUCCAAAUACAAGUAUGAAAUCCCCAAAACGCCUGAAGUCAUUAUCAAUUGCAGGCUAUUUGGUGUUUCCAAAAAGGGGUCAUAACCCACCACCAAAUUGUCUUGCAUUGCAGAUAACAAAAUAUGUUGUUGUCUAUUUGGUAGCUAAUAACAAUACCAUUUUGAAAGACACUUUCUCUAGCACUGAGAAAGUAACAACAUUUAAUAUUAGCACAGUAUACAAUUUCCCCGCUUAUAACAAGCCUUUAACAUGUUGAUUUUUGUAUCGUUUCUGAUUUGAAUUCAAUCAAUAUCCGACGUUCUACAGUAAAUUCCUAAAAUAUUGUGAUUUGAUAUAAAAACCCACUCAAAUGUGAUUGCAUGCUUUCUGACAGUUGCAAUAAACACUUUUUAUACCA